CCUGGUGCUGAUUGCGCGGUGGAACCACGCUGAUACCUUCCCGAACUCAGAGGUGAAACGCUGCUGCGGCCACGAUAGUUGGAGGGUUGCCUCCCGCCACAAUAGCUCUGUGCCAGGU
rnacentral:rRNA from 1 species